rnacentral:rRNA from 1 species
CACGUAGUUAGCCGGUGCUUCUUCUUCAGGUACCGGCAAUUUUCCACGCAUGAACUUUUUCUUCCCAGAUAAAAGCAGUUUACAACCCAGAGGGCCGUCUUCCUGCACGCGGCAUGGCUGGGUCAGUCUUGCGACCAUUGCCCAAUAUUCCCUA